AUUGAACGCUGGCGGCAUGCUUUACACAUGCAAGUCGAACGGCAGCGGGGGCUUCGGCCUGCCGGCGAGUGGCGAACGGGUGAGUAAUGCAUCGGAACGUGCCCAUGUCUGGGGGAUAACGUAGCGAAAGCUACGCUAAUACCGCAUACGCCCUGAGGGGGAAAGCGGGGGAUUCUUCGGAACCUCGCGCGAUUGGAGCGGCCGAUGUCGGAUUAGCUAGUAGGUGAGGUAAAGGCUCACCUAGGCGACGAUCCGUAGCGGGUCUGAGAGGAUGAUCCGCCACACUGGGACUGAGACACGGCCCAGACUCCUACGGGAGGCAGCAGUGGGGAAUUUUGGACAAUGGGCGCAAGCCUGAUCCAGCCAUGCCGCGUGAGUGAAGAAGGCCUUCGGGUUGUAAAGCUCUUUCGGCCGGGAAGAAAUCGUGGUCUCUAACAUAGGCCAUGGAUGACGGUACCGGACUAAGAAGCACCGGCUAACUACGUG
rnacentral:rRNA from 1 species